AAGCAGGGGAUCGCAAGACCUUGCGUUUUUGGAGCGGCCGAUGUCUGAUUAGCUAGUUGGUGAGGUAAAGGCUUACCAAGGCGUCGAUCAGUAGCUGGUCUGAGAGGAUGAUCAGCCACACUGGGACUGAGACACGGCCCAGACUCCUACGGGAGGCAGCAGUGGGGAAUUUUGGACAAUGGGGGAAACCCUGAUCCAGCCAUUCCGCGUGAGUGAAGAAGGCCUUCGGGUUGUAAAGCUCUUUCAGCCGGAACGAAACGGUAACGUCUAAUACCUGUGAUUACU
rnacentral:rRNA from 2 species